rnacentral:rRNA from 1 species
UACGUAGGGUGCAAGCGUUGUCCGGAAUUAUUGGGCGUAAAGAGCGUGUAGGCGGCCCGGUUAGUCCGCUGUGAAAGUCCAGGGCUCAACCCUGGAAUGCCGGUGGAUACUGUCGGGCUAGAGUCCGGAAGGGGCGAGUGGAAUUCCUGGUGUAGCGGUGAAAUGCGCAGAUAUCAGGAGGAACACCGGUGGCGAAGGCGGGUCUCUGGGCCGAUACUGACGCUGAGGAGCGAAAGCGUGGGGGAGCGAACAGG